rnacentral:tRNA from 1 species
GGGCGAGUGGUUCAGAGGGAAUAGCAGACCCCACAGAUCGAGAAUCUGUGAGCCUUGGAGGUGCAAGUCCUCUCUCGCCCACCA